rnacentral:misc_RNA from 1 species
GGGUUGCGGCCGUGGCGGCAUGUGAGUGGUUAUCGAUGUGAGUUCUUUGUCAGGCUCCCCGCUUCUGAGCGGCCAACUGGCGAAUUCCACAUCUCUUUCAUACCGGCCGUUAAUUUAUUUUCGGCUGGGUUUUUUUUGCCUUCSCGGGAAACCSARCGCGUUCGUAAGUGAGCGCCGAACGAWGUUGCUGUCUGUCCUCCCUCCUCUUAUUCAAGUGSAUAGGGCGUACGUAGUUGGAUUMUUCMKUGGUGGUUCSGGUUUCGUUCGGAAAUCUGUUUUCCAUCGUUGAAGSUCCCGAAUGUUUUGCGGAUGCUGUGCAUGCUCAGGUUCUUGGGGACGGCUUCCUAAGGAUCGUACGAUUCGGUUUUGUCCGCACUUCAUGAGAGACGCCUGCAUGAGUCGUGGCGCUCCUUUUGGAGGAGUGCGUGGCCUUUUGUGUGGGUGCCUACGAGGACGUGCUACCUGGUUGAUCCUGCCAGUAGUC